UACGGAGGGUGCAAGCGUUAAUCGGAAUUACUGGGCGUAAAGCGUGCGUAGGUGGUUCGUUAAGUCCGUUGUGAAAGCCCCGAGCUCAACUUGGGAAUUGCAGUGGAUACUGGCGAGCUAGAGUGCGGUAGAGGAAGGUGGAAUUCCCGGUGUAGCGGUGAAAUGCGUAGAGAUGCGGAGGAACACCGAUGGCGAAGGCAGCCCCCUGGGCUGACACUGACGCUCAGGCACGAAAGCGUGGGGAGCAAACAGG
rnacentral:rRNA from 1 species